CCGCGGGAUUAGAGUUUGAUCCUGGCUCAGAGCGAACGCUGGCGGCGUGCUUAACACAUGCAAGUCGAACGAGGUUUGUAGCAAUACAAAUACUCGUGGCGAACGGGUGCGUAACACGUGGAUAACCUUCCUUGAGGUGGGGAAUAACCCAGUGAAAAUUGGGCUAAUACCGCAUAACAUGACGAUGCCACAUGGUGUUGUCUUCAAAGGCGCAAGCCGCCACAAGAGGGAUCCGCGGCCGAUUAGCUAGUUGGCGAGGUAACGGCUCACCAAGGCGAUGAUCGGUAGCCGGACUGAGAGGUUGGCCGGCCACACUGGAACUGAGACACGGUCCAGACUCCUACGGGAGGCAGCAGUGGGGAAUCUUGCACAAUGGGCGAAAGCCUGAUGCAGCAACGCCGCGUGGGGGAUGAAGCUUCUCGGAGUGUAAACCCCUUUCGACCCGGAAGAAUGCCCGCAAGGGUUUGACGGUACGGGUAUAAGAAGCCCCGGCUAACUACGUGCCAACAGCCGCGGUAAGACGUGGGGGGCCAGCGUUGCUCGGAAUUACUGGGUGUAAAGGGUUCGUAGGCGGUGUGGCAAGUCGGGAGUGAAAUCUCUGGGCUUAACCCAGAGACUGCUUCCGAAACUGCUGUGCUUGAGUGUGGGAGAGGCGCGUGGAAUUGCAGGUGUAGCGGUGAAAUGCGUAGAUAUCUGCAGGAACACCCGUGGCGAAAGCGGCGCGCUGGACCACUACUGACGCUGAGGAACGAAAGCUAGGGGAGCAAACAGGAUUAGAUACCCUGGUAGUCCUAGCCCUAAACGAUCAGGACUUGGGGUGCCGCACGUUCGUGCGUCGUC
rnacentral:rRNA from 1 species